rnacentral:tRNA from 1 species
GCCUGGCUAGCUCAGUCGGUAGAGCAUGAGACUUUUAAUCUCAGGGUCGUGGGUUUGAGCCCCACGUUGGGCG